GUAUCGUAAUUGAAGAGGUUUGGAAAGACCCACCACAGAAGGUAAUAGUCCUGUAUGUUAAACGAGAAGACUUUAGAUAUGAUCCAGAGUACCACGGGACACGUGAAACCCUGUGGGAAGCAGGAGGGACCACCCUCCAAGGCUAAAUACUACCUAGUGACCGAUAGCGUAUAGUACCGUGAGGGAAAGGUGAAAAGAACCCCGGGAGGGGAGUGAAAUAGAACCUGAAACCCUGCACUUACAAGCUGUGGAAGCACAUUUCUUGUGUGACCGCGUACUUUUUGUAGAACGGGCCAACGAGUUACGUUAAGUAGCAAGGUUAAGCACUUAAGGUGCGGAGCCGUAGCGAAAGCGAGUUUUAACUGAGCGUUCAGUUACUUGACGUAGACCCGAAACCGGGCGACCUACCCAUGAGCAGGAUGAAGCGAAAGUAAAAUUUCGUGGAGGUCCGAACCCACGAGCGUUGAAAAGCUCGGGGAUGACUUGUGGGUAGCGGUGAAAUUCCAAUCGAGCCCGGAGAUAGCUGGUUCUCCCCGAAAUAGCUUUAGGGCUAGCCUCAAGGUGAGAGAUACGGAGGUAGAGCACUGAAUGUCCUAGGGGGUAUUGCACCUACCGAAGACUAUCAAACUCCGAAUGCCGUCAUCUUAUACUUGGGAGUCAGACUGUGGGUGAUAAGAUUCAUAGUCGAAAGGGCAACAGCCCAGAUCGUCAGCUAAGGUCCCUAAAUGUAAGUUAAGUGGUAAAGGAUGUGGGAUUGCACAGACAACCAGGAUGUUGGC
rnacentral:rRNA from 1 species